GAAACACGGACCAAGGAGUUCAACUGGAUUGCGAGUCGUAGAGAUAUAUUCACUAUACUCACUACCGACGCAGCGAAAGCAACCCGGUGUCAACUAAUAUACACAUUAUAUUAGUGCAGCACAAGCUGAUUAUGUAUAUGCAUAGUACGUACGCGAGUGUGCAUACCUUUUCUCGUAUAUUCUCUCACGAGAGUAUACGUGAGACAGGAAUAAUCAAGCUAUAGAGUAAUUUAGUUGAGACCCGAAAGAUGGUGAACUUUGCCCGGACAUGGUGAAGCCAGGUGAAAACUUGGUGGAAGCUUGCGUUGUGCGGAACUGACGUGCAAAUCGUUGCCGCCUGAACUGGGUAAAGGGGCGAAAGACUCAUCGAACCAUCUAGUAGCUGGUUCCCUCCGAAGUUGCCCUCAGGUUAGCUCGAAUACAUCUCAUCGCAUACAUAUACAUACAUACAUACAUACACACACACAUACACACGUGUAUGCGUAUAUAUAUAUAUAACAUACUAAGGUAACACAAGGGUAAAGCAAUGAUACGCGGUAUCUGUGGGUCUUAUUUCAAUGACCUCGGCCUUCUCUCAAACUUUAAAUCUGUGCGAAUCUAUUACACGUUAUCUUUGAAGUGUUACUUUAAUUUUGAUACGCGUAACAAUAGAUCAUACUUAGUAUUCGUAGUGGGCCAUUUCUGGUAAGCAGAACUGGCGAUGAGGGAUUCAACCUGACGUUUGAUAAGAUAAGCCGGGCUUAAUCAUAUCUGCUCCAACCUUCCGAUAAACGCGA
rnacentral:rRNA from 1 species